UCUUGUUGGGCGAGACACCCCGGGAACUGGGGCUAAUCCCUGAUAAGCGAUAAGACUUGGAAUAGUCUAUCACCCAAAAACCUCUUGACCAUGCUUAAGAGGCGCCCAAGGACAAAGCCGCGACCGAUCAGGCUGUUGGUAGGGCAACGGCCUACCAAACCCAUAACCGGUACGGGCCGUGAGAGCGGAAGCCCGGAGAUGGAUACUGAGACAAGGAUCCAGGCCCUACGGGGCGCAGCAGUUGCGAAAACUCCACAAUGCACGAAAGUGUGAUGGGGCUACCCCGAGUGCCGUCCGCUGAGGAUGGCUUUUCUCUGCUGUAAGGAGGCAGAGGAAUAAGGAGAGGGCAAGUCUGGUGUCAGCCGCCGCGGUAAUACCAGCUCUCCGAGUGGUAGGGAUGAUUAUUGGGCUUAAAGCGUCCGUAGCCGGCUUGACAAGUCUUCUGUUAAAUCCAGCAACCCAAUUGUUGGACUGCGGGAGAUACUGCCAAGCUAGAGAACGGGAGAAGUCGACGGUACUCUCAGGGUAGGAGUGAAAUCCUAUAAUCCUGGGAGGACCACCAGUGGCGUAGGCUGUCGGCUAGAACGUGUCUGACGGUGAGGGACGAAAGCUUGGGGAGCGAACCGGAUUAGAUACCCGGGUAGUCCAAGCUGUAAACGAUGCGGGCUAGGUGUUGGUGUGGCUACGUGCCACUUCAGUGCCGCAGGGAAGCCGUUAAGCCCGCCGCCUGGGGAGUACGGUCGCAAGGCUGAAACUUAAAGGAAUUGGCGGGGGAGCAC
rnacentral:rRNA from 1 species